GGGCUGGUAGAUCAGUUGGUAGAUCGCCACCUUCGCAAGGUGGAGGCCGCGAGUUCGACUCUCGCCCAGUCCA
rnacentral:tRNA from 1 species